rnacentral:rRNA from 1 species
UGCAGUCGAGCGGAACGAUCCCAGCUUGCUGGGAGGCGUCGAGCGGCGGACGGGUGAGUAAUGCAUAGGAAUCUGCCCGAUAGUGGGGGAUAACCUGAGGAAACUCAGGCUAAUACCGCAUACGUCCUACGGGAGAAAGCAGGGGCUCUUCGGACCUUGCGCUAUCGGAUGAGCUUAUGUCGGAUUAGCUGGUUGGUGAGGUAACGGCUCACCAAGGCGACGAUCCGUAGCUGGUCUGAGAGGAUGAUCAGCCACAUCGGGACUGAGACACGGCCCGAACUCCUACGGGAGGCAGCAGUGGGGAAUAUUGGACAAUGGGGGCAACCCUGAUCCAGCCAUGCCGCGUGUGUGAAGAAGGCCCUCGGGUUGUAAAGCACUUUCAGUGAGGAAGAAUGCUUGUCGGUUAAUACCCGGCAAGGGAGACAUCACUCACAGAAGAAGCACCGGCUAACUCCGUGCCAGCAGCCGCGGUAAUACGGAGGGUGCGAGCGUUAAUCGGAAUUACUGGGCGUAAAGCGCGCGUAGGCGGCUUGAUAAGCCGGUUGUGAAAGCCCCGGGCUCAACCUGGGAACGGCAUCCGGAACUGUCAGGCUAGAGUGCAGGAGAGGAAGGUAGAAUUCCCGGUGUAGCGGUGAAAUGCGUAGAGAUCGGGAGGAAUACCAGUGGCGAAAGCGGCCUUCUGGACUGACACUGACGCUGAGGUGCGAAAGCGUGGGUAGCAAACAGGAUUAGAUACCCUGGUAGUCCACGCCGUAAACGAUGUCGACUAGCCGUUGGGGUCCUCGAGACCUUUGUGGCGCAGUUAACGCACUAAGUCGACCGCCCUGGGGAGUACGGCCGCAAGGUUAAAACUCAAAUGAAUUGACGGGGCCCGCACAAGCGUGAAGCAUGGUGGUUUAAUUCGAUGCAACGCGAAGAACUUACCUACCCUGACAUC